UACGUAGGGGGCAAGCGUUGUCCGGAUUUAUUGGGCGUAAAGAGCGUGUAGGCGGCUUUACAGGUCCGUUGUGAAAACUCGAGGCUCAACCUCGAGACGCCGGUGGAAACCGUAAAGCUAGAGUCCGGAAGAGGAGAGUGGAAUUCCUGGUGUAGCGGUGAAAUGCGCAGAUAUCAGGAGGAACACCAGUGGCGAAGGCGGCUUUCUGGUCUGUAACUGACGCUGAGGCGCGAAAGCGUGGGGAGCAAACAGG
rnacentral:rRNA from 1 species